GACUUGGCGGCGGGUGCCAUGCGUCUGGAGCUUCACAUUCUCUGCCCCCCACCCACCGCGCCGGCGCUCCCUUGUCACGCCUCGGGAAGCGCGCACCUGCCAAGCAGGUCACUCUGUCGCCGGAGGGCAGUCGCAUGAUCAUAGGUCACUGUAACCUGGAACUCCUGGGUUCAGGCAAUCUUCCCACCUCAGCUUCCUGAGUAGCUGGAAUUACAGGUCUGCUAAUUUUUAUUUUCUCUAUUUUGAAGGAUGAAUAAUCUGAUAUCAUGUGAAAUGAGGAAAUAAGAAGCUUUCUGCUGACUUCAUUUUGACCCAGGGUCCAAAAGGUGAUGUAAUCGUGUGGCAAGAAGAUUCAAAACUGUGGACUAUCUUGCAAAAAAUACAAGAAGAUAUUGAAAGUUUUCAUGAGUGCCUACCACCUAAUCUCAAACACUAUCAUUCAUAUGUGCCUCAUUGAGCAAAUCUUUAAUGAGGAUCUAUAUGCCAGCAAUAUCUUUUGCUUGGGAGCAGAAACAGAAAGUACAUGGUGGACUUCAUUGAGGGAUGGAGAUUUGGAAGACAUGAAUGGAUGAAGAAUCAAGUGCGUGAGGGCACCUAUCAGGAUUGUUGCUGAAAUCCUUAUGGAGACGGAGUCUCGCUCUGUUGCCCAGGCUGUAGUUCAGUGGCGCAAUCUCGGCUCACUGCAAGCUCCGCCUCCCGGGUUCAUGCCAUUCUUCUGCCUCAGCCUCCCGAGUAGCUGGGACUACAGGCGCCUGCUACCACGCCUGGCUAAUUUUUUGUAUUUUUUAGUAGAGACGGGGUUUCACCAUGUUAGUCAGGAUGGUCUCGAUUUCCUGACCUCGUGAUCCACCCAUCUCAGCCUCCCAAAGUGCUAGGAUUAAAGGCAUGAGCCACCACGCCCAGCCAACUUAUAACUUUUAUAUCAUUAGACACAUGGAAUAUGGGCCUCCGUUUGUACUCUUGCCCUUGGCCCCACAAAUGUUAGGGAGAGGCCUGGCUCCUACAAUGUACUAUUUACCUGUUGUAAAGAAUAGCCCUUCAAAAGUAUUAUUCUAAGUCUGUUUGACAUAAUAGGUCCAAAUUGUAUUACAACAUGGUAAAAAAACAACAAUCCGUUAACAAUCCUCUUUGGAUUUCUAAAAAAGUUUUGGUAGCCUAAACCCUUUCCCCAAUUUUUGAUAUCACUUCAUGUCAUUUUAGAGAGUAAGUUUUCCUGUUUUAUUAUGUUUAUAUUUAAGCUGAAUUUUCUAAAAGAACUGUGAGUGUUUUUAUUCUAUUGUGACAUUCAAGGUACGCAGCUGACCCUUGAGUAUAAGUCCCAUCAACUAAGUAAACAUCAAACAUAUCUUCAGUACAUCCGUUUAGAUCUUUACAGUUAUUUAUCACUUUUUCAUAAGUUCCAAAGUUCCAGAUGGUUACUGAUACAUUCAGUCUGACCACUGCUAGAUUUGAGACUUGUCCCACGGAUCUGCACUGUAUCUUCAUACCUUCAUUAAUAGAUCUUUUUUUCUUUUUUUUUUUUAAUUUUUUUGGAGACGUGGGUCUCAUUAUGUUGCCCAGGCUGGUCUUGAACUUCUGGUCUCAAGUGAUCCUCCCAACUCAGCCUCCCAAAGUAUUGGAAUUAUAGGUGUGAGCCGCUACACCCAGCCUAGAUCUCAAUCAGGUGACACUGAAAAUGUUUGGUCAUAAACCACAGUGAAGGAAGGGGAGGCAGCUGUUAGAUCAUCCGCCUUGACCCACAGUCAUCCAUUUGCACCUUGGCAAGCCCUCUACUACAUCUGAAUCUCGAAAUGGGGGAUAACCUCUUGGGAGAGUCUAUGCUAGUACCCUUCUAGUAGUAGUUUACAAUCUGCCAACAAAUCUUGAAGCCUUAUUUGGUUGAUAUCAAUUUGAGAGGUGGGAGGUUCAGUUUCCAAAGAGUCAGGAAAGAGCAUUCAUCUAGGCUUGAGAAGCCUCUAUUUCCUAACUCAAGAGUUCUGAUUAGGUUGUUGGUUGAGUGACACAAGGCAAUCAUCUCACUUUUCUGUUCCUGAGCUUCUCCUUUUAUAGAAUGUGGGCAGGAGUGUGGAGAGGGAGAAUUUAUUUCAUUUCCUGUUUUCCAAACUUACUAAACUGUGGAAACUUUUUCUUUUGCAGCAUUGGGCAAAACUGAUGUUCUAAGGAACAUUCUUUAGGAAAGGUUAGCCAGAUCAGUGGUUCUCAACAGGCAUGUGGUACACAUUUAGUAAUGUCCAGAGACGUUUUUGGUUGUCACAACUGGGGAUACAGGGAUGCUGCUAAACAUCCUGCAAUGCCUAGGACAGCCCUCCACAACGGAGAAUUAUCUAACUCAAAAUGCCAGUCAUUCUAAGGGGUUGAAAAACUCUGGACUAGAUGAACUAUCUCAAUUCUCUUUUAACACUAACAUUUAAAUGUGGUGUUUCUUGUUUUUUAAACACACAAAAUUUUAUUUCUCUUUUACACAAAGUCAGCUAUGGGUAUGGAUGAAUCUGCGGACAGUUUUCUUCCAUGUGUUGGCUCCAUAUUUCAGCUGCUUUGAUUUUUUUGACAUCUUAUCAAUAUGUUCUUCUAUGAUUUCCUUGGCAGAGAAAGAGAAAGCAGAGAGAAUCAUGUGCUGGAUCUUAAAUGCUUCUACGUGGAUGUAGUAAAUGUCUCUUCUACUUUUUUAAAAUAAGAAGUGUAUUAAAAUAUAAUCCAUGUAUCAUAUAAUUUACUCAUUUAAGGCAUAAAAUUCGGCUGGGUGUGGUGGCUCACACCUGUAAUCCCAGCACUUUGGGAGGUUGAGGUGGGGUGAAUCUCUUGAGCCCAGGAGUUUAAGACCAGACUGGGCAACAUGGCAAAACCCCAUCUCUACAAAAAAUACAAAAAUUAGCCAGGUGUGGUGGCAUGCACCUGUAAUCCCAGCUAUUUGGGAGGUUGAGGUGGGAGUAUUGCUUGAGUUUUGAAGGCAGAGGUUGCAGUGAGCCAAGAUUGUGCCACUGCACUCCAGCCUGGGUGACAGAGUGAGACUGUCUCAAAAAAAAAUUUUCAGCUAAAAUAAAGUGUAAAACUCUGUAGUUUUUAGUGUAUCCACAAAAUGUGUGCAAUCAUCUCUACACUCAAUUUUAGAACAUUUGAAUCACCCCCAGAAGAAACACUGUACCUAUUAACAGCCAUUCCCAAUUUUCCCUCAACACCUCCACCUCAGCCCUAGGCAACCACUAACCUAUUUUCUAUCUCUAUAGGUUUACCUAUACUGGAUAUUACAUAUCAAUGGAAUCAUGUCCUUUGUAACUGUCUUCUUUCACUUUGCAUAAUGUUUUCAAGGUUCAUUCAUGUUGCAUCCUUCUCAAUAUUUCAUUUUUAUUGCUGAAUAAUAUUCCAUUGUAUGAAUAUAACACAUUUUAUUUAUCCAUUCAUCACUUGAUGGAUAUAUGAGCCAUUUCUACUUUUUAGAUAUUAUGAAUAAUGCUGCUAUGAAUACUUAUAUGCAAGUUUUUACAUGGACGUAUGUCUUCAUUUCUCUUAGGUUAUAUAUCUAAGAAAGGAAUUACUGAAUCAUAUGAUAACUUUAUGCUUAGACUUUUGAGAAACUGCCAGACUGCUUUCCAAAAUGACUGUGCCAUUUUACAUUCCCAAAAGUAUUGUAUGAAGUUUCUAAUUUUUCCACACCCUCACCAACAUUUAUUAUCUGUGUUUUUGAUUCUUGCCAUCCUAGUGUGUGUGAAGUAGUUUCUCACUGUGAUUUGUAUCUGAAUCUUCUUGAAGGCUAAUGAUUUUGAGCAUCUUUUCAUGUGCUUAUUGUCUCUUCUUUAUAUAGAUGUCUAUUCAGGUCCUUGGCCCAUUUUUAAUUUGGGCUAUUUGUCUUUUCAUUACUGAGUUUUAAGAGUAAUUUUUAUUUAUUCUAGACACACAUCCCAUAUUAGAUAGGUGAUUUGCAACUAUUUCCUCCCAUUCUGUAGGUUUCUUGCUGGUGUCCUUUGAGAAAUAGAAGUUUUACAUUUUGAUGAAGUCAAGUGUGUAUGUUUUCUUUUGUUGCUUGUGCAUUUGAUCUCAUAUCAAAAAACCAUUGCACAAUCCAAGGCCACAAAGAGUUAUGUCUAUGUUUUCUAGAUUUUUAUCAUUUUAGUGCUUACAUUUAGGUCUUUGAUCUUUUUUGUGUUAAUUUUUUAUAUUGGGUGUGAGGUAAAAAUCCAACUUCAUUCUUUUGCAUGUGAUAUCCAAUUAUCCAGAACCACUUGUUGAGAAGGCUAGUUCUUCCUCACUGGAUUAUCUUGGCGCCCUUGUCAAAAAUAAGUUGACUGUAAAUGUGAAGGUAUAUGAGUUGUUAAAAUACCUCUUCUGUGAUAUCUAUAAUUUAUUUUCUAAAAGGAUAAGUUAUAGGUCACAUCUCAGAUUACAAUGAUUCAAGUCAAAAAGUUCAAAAUAGAAUUUACUUUCAAAAUUGUUUGUUCCCCCAGAGCUAGUUAAUACCCCCAGAGCUAGUUAAUAAACUCUAUUUGCAGAUAAAAGCAUGCUUUCCCUUCAAAGGUAUUUCACCAAGACGGGAAACACAAAUCUAAAUAAGCUGGGAAACUGAGGAUACACAGAGGGUCUCCUUAAUCUCUGGAUAUGUGGUCUAAUGUAUCCUUUUUUUGCUCAUUUUUUCCCUUUUAUCCAGAAAUACAACAUUACCUUUUUAUAAAAUUCCUGGAGAUUGAUCAUAUCUCUAGUAUUUGGGUCUAGAAUGUAUUUCUUGGCUAAAACAUCUCUUUACCCCACUUCCACAUGUGGAAAGAAAGAAAACAUGGGACUCUAAUCUCACAAGUGAGGCAUGGGGUUGUUUCCUGAAAUGAGACAAGGACUUUGGACAAGAACAUGUUUGGGCUUGAGAUGGUUUUCGUAAACCCAAAUGAUAUUAGUUCUAGUCUGUCUUUAUCGCUCACUGUAUUUUGUUUUCAUUCAUACUAAUGAAUAAUAGACUUGAUUGUGUUCCAUCAUUUAUGUCAUUAAUAUUUCCUUUAUGUUUGAGUGCUGUGCAGUUCUCCUUGAAACUUGUAUGGAGAUUGAAGUUGAUAGUGAUUUAAAGUAAUUAAUUCAUAUGUCAGUUGUUAGCAAGGUCUAGUAAUUAAAAUCUACUUUAGAGUAAGUUAUUAACUCUCCAAAAUAAAAACGCUUUAUCAACU